GCUCCACCAUUGCUUGCAUUUCAGCAAGGUGACAAUGAAACGUGUGAUAAGGAAAGACAGGAGUAAUACUUGGUAUCAAUGUAACCUGUGUACAGUCGUUGUCUCUUUGGCUAAGAUUCACAAGGUUGUCUGGAAGAGGCUGCUGAUAAGCCACGUACACAGUAGCCAAAGAAGUCUCAUCUCCAUAAAAUCCCUUUAAAUGAAGGAUUGCAGAAUUGCAAUGGCAAACAUUCACCUGAGACCACUCUAAGUGUGGAAAAGCGGUUUUUCAUGUCAUUUCAGAAGAGAGGCUAAUCUAGUGUUGAAAAAUUAGGACACAAUUUAAAAUUGAAAGAAAUGUUCUGAUUUCAGGCAGGAUAGUUGGGCUCUAAACCAGAUACAUCUAUGACAGUAAUUUCAAAGACUGUAGGGAAAAGUUGGUUGCAUUUAGCUUUCUACCGCCCUCACCACAUGAGGGAAGAGGAAGUUAAGUUACGAAUCUGACAUGCUUUCAUUUGUUGUUUUGCUGAUCUUCAAUAGAGACACCGUGAUGCAAGUGCUAAUAAUCCUGCGUGAUGAUCAUAAUUUCACUGAAACUUCUUUUAACAAUGUGUUUUGGCGCCUUAGCUACAAAUCCCAAUAAUAUAAUGGUCACCCAAACACCAACAAAAAUACAUCUAUCAAUUGGAGACUACACUGAAAUCGCCUGUACUUGGGAAAAAAAAUCUGUUCAGAGGUAUAGAGUAAGCUGGCAUCUUGUUAAUAGAGAGAACAUCACCAAAACUAUAUCAUCAGAACUUUGCUAUGUAUCCAAUAUCACCUGUGAAAGCAAGGAUGUGCUAGUGAUAAAAUCUGCCAAUGUAAAUGACACUGGAUUUUACUACUGUGAGAUAAUUAUUGAAAUACCUUUCUGUAAGAAAGUGUGUGGAAAUGGGACAACAGUGACUGUUGAAGAGAAAGAAGCUCACUCAUUGAAAAAGAGAGAUUUGGCAAUAAGCGCCAUCGUUCUUUUCUUAGUGGCAGUGGGAAGCUUGUGUCUUUGCUACAAAAAGAAACAGCACUCUAAACUUUCUGGUUCUGCACAGCUUCCUGUGCCGGCGGGAAGGCAUCAGGAGGAGCAGAUGCUCGAAAUUGCAGAACUUCAUGGGAUAAAUGAAUCCACCAAUGAAGCAGCUGAGGAAAACUCAUCGUGUAAUUCUGCUGAAUGGGUAAGUGGUUUAUAAAAAGACUCUAUGAGAGAAGGAAUUUCAAAAUGAGAUACUGGGGAGCGCACGGAACAGAAAUGACACAACAAG
rnacentral:lncRNA from 1 species